rnacentral:rRNA from 1 species
ACAUGCAGUCGAGGGGCAGCACAUAGUAGCAAUACUUGGUGGCGACCGGCGCACGGGUGAGUAACACGUAUGCAACCUACCUGUAAGAGGGGAAUAACCCGGAGAAAUUCGGACUAAUACCGCAUAAUACCGCGAGACUGCAUGGUCUUGCGUUUAAACAUUUAUGGCUUACAGAUGGGCAUGCGUAUGAUUAGAUAGUUGGUAGGGUAACGGCCUACCAAGUCAACGAUCAUUAGGGGUUCUGAGAGGAAGGUCCCCCACACUGGUACUGAGACACGGACCAGACUCCUACGGGAGGCAGCAGUGAGGAAUAUUGGUCAAUGGGCGAGAGCCUGAACCAGCCAAGUCGCGUGAAGGAAGAAGGUUCUAUGGAUUGUAAACUUCUUUUGUAAGGGAAUAAAAAGAGUUACGUGUAACUUAUUGUAUGUACUUUACGAAUAAGGAUCGGCUAACUCCGUGCCAGCAGCCGCGGUAAUACGGAGGAUCCAAGCGUUAUCCGGAUUUAUUGGGUUUAAAGGGUGCGUAGGCGGACCCUUAAGUCAGUGGUGAAAGUUUGCGGCUCAACCGUAAAAUUGCCAUUGAAACUGAGGGUCUUGAGUGUAAAUGAGGUAGGCGGAAUGUGUUGUGUAGCUGUGAAAUGCUUAGAUAUAACACAGAACACCAAUUGCGAAGGCAGCUUACUGGGAUACAACUGACGCUGAGGCACGAAAGCGUGGGGAUCAAACAGGAUUAGAUACCCUGGUAGUCCACGCAGUAAACGAUGAAUACUAGCUGUAUGCGAUAUACUGUAUGUGGCAAAGCGAAAGCGUUAA